rnacentral:lncRNA from 1 species
AUGCCGCUGGGACAGAGCGCCAAGCACCGGCUUCCCAAUAUUGUCUUCCAGUUGCUAGACUACACUGCUUUCCAGUCCAUUAUUUGGAAUCUACCAGCUGAAAUGCACCCUGAAAUCCCUCGGUGGGAUUGGCCACAGCUUCCGAGGGAACGGGGCAUGGAGCCCUUGCUCACCCCAGAGGAGAAGGACGCCACUGCCGCGCCCUGCACAGGGUGUAGAGGUCCCCAAGCGAGUGAGCUCCCCAAGCCCCGUGGGGACCCAAAGAAAGAAAUUCACGAGAUUCUAUCCCAAGCCGAUCUAGGCUGCAUUUAUGCUCUGACCUCGAGCUGCCAGAUUUCAGAGCUUAUUCUUCCAAGUCCCAAGCCCCAGGACCCCAGAGCCUGGCUACAUUUGGAGACAAAGUAGCCGCAGAGGUAACUCCGUUAAAAUGAGGCUACGAUGCGGGUAGGGCCUCGUCCAAUGAUUGAUGUCCUCAUAGGAAGAGGGGGUUGGGACACAGACGCACACAGGAAGACCACAAGGCACUUACAAGCUCGAGCAAGAGGCCUCAGAAGAAACCAGACGUGCACCAACCUUGACCUUGGACUUCCAGCCAAGAGAAGACCGAGAAGAGACCUGCCUGGUGGUUAGGGCCCCUCGUCUGGGCCCUUGGCUAGGGCAGCAUUAGCAAAUUAGUGCAGUCUAUGGUUUUUGUCUGAUUUCUUGCAUGCAUCACGGUUACUUUGACAGUCACCUGGGCUGUUGGGAAUUAUUAGCUCAUUUCAUUCUGUGGUUCGUGAAGUGACACACUGGUCGUUUAUUCGUCACCUGCUGGGGGACUCCCAGUCUGCUUCUGAGGUCUGCUUAUUACAAAUGAUGCUAGUAAAAGCCAGGCGUGGUGGCACACGCCUGUAAUCCCAGCACUUAGGAGGCUGAGGCAGGAGGCUCGCCAUGAGUUCAAGGCCAGCCUGAACUACAUAGCAAGACCCUGUCCUGCUCCCUACCCCAUUUCCUUGUUCUUGCA